CUUUGAUCUCUUUUGAAACUCCAUUCUGAGUCAACAUCAAUGGCUCAUUCUAGAACUUUCUUUUUCAGGUUCUCCAAAGUCAUUAUCACAGCUCCAAGGAACAUCUAGCCUGGGGCAUGGCAACUUUGGCACUAUUGACAUUUGGGGCAGGAUGAAUCUCUGUGGUCAGCUGCCGGGCCCAUCACAGGAUCUUUAACAACAUCCAUGGACCUUACCUUCUACAUGUCAGUAGCUCCUCCUCCACCUGAAGUGACCAUGAAAAAUGUCACCAGAUUCCGCCAAAUGUCUCCUCCAAAUGACACUUCAUUGAGAACACUGAAGUGAACACAGAUUGUCUUUAUGAACCGAGGAACAGAUUGGCAACUCCAGACAACCUUGAAAGCUUUGGGCCUGGAGGACCACUCUCUUGGACUUGACUGGGCCAUUUUCCAGCUCCGGACCCAGGAUUUUGUCACUUGGCCUCAAGAACAAGAAUGACGGCUCGUAUGCAUUGGGCUUCAGCGUUUUCCAGGCACAGAGCCACAGUGUGCACCCCCGUGUAGUCAUGUUACCAUGCCAGAGGAAGAAACUGACUGCCCUUCCUCCUACCCCAAAAUUUAGGUAUUCAUCUCUUGGCUCCUUCUUUGUAGAGAUGAGUGAAUGCAGAGUGAACACAGAGACCCCGGAGUCCAAGAGUGCAAGACACUUGCAAACAUAAAGCUCUAUAUCAUUUCCAAUCUUGAGUUCCCUUCUGCCUAGUUGGCAGAAAUAUAACCUUAGUCCUUCUGGGGACUUUCCUGACCACCGUUCUCCAUAAGAUCCUGGGCCUUAAGUUAAGUCAAGACACGACGCAGGGACAGACAGUGUGGGAUGCUGUCAGCCAUCUGUCCAUUUGGAUUGCUACCAAAGCAUUCAGUGUUACUCUGUCUGGACCGUUUAGGUCUGAUGGCUUACUACUUCUGCACAGUGCUUAAGACAAAGCUACCUAUCAUCCCAAUAGUAUCCUGUAUUUUCCAAAGAGGGCCACAGCAAUAUCUUUUACCCCACAUACCCUUCAUAAUAAGCCUUUGAAACGUCUCCCUUCCAAAGAUGAAAUCUUGUGCCUACGGCAGAAGUGACACUAUGUGGCUCUAAAAUGACAUAGAGGCCAGCUCGUGUCUUGGUAUGCUUGUUCCCUGAUCCUAAGUCCCAUACUCUAUAAGGAAGCCCAAUAAAUGACACAGGAGGACACGUA